rnacentral:rRNA from 1 species
CCUACGGGGGGCGGCAGUGAGGAAUAUUGCACAAUGGGGGCAACCCUGAUGCAGCAACGCCGCGUGUACGAAGAAUCAGAUUACUGUGUAAAGUACUGUUAGAAGGGACGAAAUAUUUGAUUAGGAGUCAAAUUUGCCGGUACCUUCUAAGAAAGCUCCGGCUAACUCCGUGCCAGCAGCCGCGGUAAUACGGGGGGAGCAAGCGUUGUCCGGAAUCAUUGGGCGUAAAGGGCAUGUAGGUUGUAAUUUAAGUCAGUUUUUAAAUGUCACGGCUUAACCGUGGACUGGAAUUGAAACUGGAUUACUUGAGUAUGAGAGGGGACAGAGGAAUACCUAGUGUAGCGGUGGAAUGCGUAGAUAUUAGGUAGAACACCCGAGGCGAAGGCGUCUGUCUGGCUCAUUACUGACACUGAAAUGCGAAAGCAUGGGUAGCGAACAGGAUUAGAUACCCUGGUAGUCCAUGCCGUAAACGAUGGAUACUAGGUGUCGGGGGACUAGCCCCCUCGGUGCCGUAGCUAACGCGUUAAGUAUCCCGCCUGGGGAGUACGAUCGCAAGGUUGAAACUCAAAGGAAUUGACG